ACAGUGCCAAUGUUUUCAUGAAGGGGAGUAAGACUUGUGGUAUAAGAUAUCUUAAAUACAAGUUAGCAUUACAGCUUGUACUUACAGAUUGAUGUUGGAAAUGGCUAUUAGAGUUUUAAAAAUAACAAUUACUGUGGUUGAAGGAUAUAAUUAUGUGAUGAAUUCUCCAUACUCCUUAGAGAUGUUGUGAAGGUUCUUAACAUGUUGACAGCUGGGGACUCUCACUUCACAAGACAUCAGAUUCAACAUCCCCAUUCUGACACUGGACAUGGCUGCCAAUUUGUACAUGCUGCACUACCAAACAGACACCUUACUUUUGCAAGGAUUUUACUGCUAGUCUGAAGAAGACCAAGAGUGACCAUAUUUCCCUUUGGGGUCUUUCUAACUCUACUGAACAGUUUCCAAUAUAAACGGUUCAUAUAAAUCUUGCAUAAACAAGAGAAAGAAUGUAGGUGGUAAAUUCUAAAAUAAUUAAUGUAAAGAUUCUCCAUUUUCAACAAGAGUGGAAGUUUUGAUUAAGGUUAAUGUAUUGUUUUUUGAAUUUUCACUCAAAUUUCUUUUUCUCACUACCAUUAAAUGCUAUUGAUUUUUAUUAUUGUGGCUCAACAGAUAAAAUGUUUCUUAUUAAGUUAACAUUUACAUUGGUUAAGAAUGGAGAAUCUAAAAAUAACAAAAAUAUUAUAAAUAUUUUUAGUAUAGCAAUGAGUUUAUAUGGAAAUCAAAAA